UGGAAAUUUUGAAUUAAAAAGAAGUAAGGAAGGGCUAAGUUCGGAUGUAACCAAACAUUUAUACUCUCAAAGGCAAAUAUUUAACUUUAUCUAAAAUUAUAUCAAUGAUAAAAUGUUUAAGCACAACUCUUCGUAAAUUUACGCCUUAGUGAAAUAAGAAGUGUUGUAGUAAUUUUACGAACUGAGCUGAAUCGCAAAUUCGGUCAAAUUGAAUACAACUCACAUGCGCUACUAAAGAUACCAGGUUCAAAAAUAUAAUUUUCGAGAUUCGAUUGCUGCGGUCAAGCUAUAUUAAAACGAAAUCUCAUUAAAGGAUACAUUAAAAUUAUCCAGCAAUCUGAAGUGACGGAAAAUUCCCAAUUCGGGAGAUAUAUUUAUCUGUCUUCACCAUCUAUGAAAAACAAUCGUAAGAAUGGGAAUAUAUUCGUACUAUUUCCUCAGUUGUAUAAGCAAGCACGUAUCUUAUCCUUUUGGGUCGUUUGUUCCUUGCGAGACUUUCUCUAAAACUGAUGCAAUGAUAUGAAACUCCAGAAACCGCUGUCAAAAUGUACGGUGAGUGUCAUUGAAAAUCUCAGCUGUACGAUUUUCAGUGACACAUAAAAAGGGGAAUAAUUUACAAAAAUAAUUUCCAACGCAUUGUGGUCUUAACUCUAUUACAAAUGAAAACAACGAUGCAACAAACUCAGAUGAGUCGUUUUACUCGCCACCCCUGACGUUCGGAACGCCUUCCACAGCGCUGGAUGGGAAAACAUGAUUGAAGCAUUAGAGGAAACCUUUAAAAUACCCACAUAUCUCAGCAUAAUGGUGAGGAGCUAUUUGAAAGACAGGGUUUUGCUGUAUAAAACUUCUGAAGGACCACGACACUUGAAGGACACGUGCGGAGCUGCGCAGGGAUCAAUCCUCGGCCCAGACCUCUGGAACGUUAGUUACGACGGCAUAUUAAGCCUCGAUAUGCCCGACGAUACUUAUCUAGUUGGCUACCCAGACGACAUCACCGCGAUAAUCACUGCGAGAGACACCGAAGAUAUCUAUAAUAAACAUGAAGACAACAACAGAAACAUUAAGAACACAAAUGGUUGUCAACUAUCUGGGUAAGAAUAGACUCCAGGCUUACCUACUGGACACAAAUUCAACACGCUGCGGAAAAAGCGUCCAUAAUAACUAGUCAAUUGAGCAGGCUGACGUCUGAUAUCGGAGGACCGAGACAGGAAAAACGGAAACUUUUGAUAUCGACAACAGUAAAUGUCUUGCUCUACGAAUCCCUCGAAAAAGUGUCGGCGUAUCGGACAGUCUCGGGCGAAGCUGUAUAUGUAAUAAGCGGACACACGCCCAUCGACUUAUUAGCAUUUGGACGAAAGAAAAUGUGGACGUUGAAGAAACAAGGAACAGAUGCUGCCGCUACAAAAGAGGAAAUAAAGACCGACACCUUGGAACAAUGGCAAGUUCGCUGGGAGUAAGGACGCCACGGCAGAUGGACGGCCAGGUUAACCCGAAACAUAAAAUAAUGGUCUAACAGGAAACAUGGUGAGGUAAAAUGGGAAAAGUCGAAGAGCCGUUCUGUAUAUACAACGACGCGAUCGAGGACGACGCUGAACACACAUUUUUUAAAUGCACACGCUGGCAAACGCAGCGGAUAACAUCAUACUAUCAUGCUUCAAAACGAGGAAAACUGGAAGAACGUUAAAAAUUAUAUAGAAAACGUACUACGGAUUAAAAAACGGGACCUGGACGCAGGUCCUUGUCAUUACAUGUAAAUCUUAAGACGAGAAAUAUGGAACGCCACCCUGAAGUAAUGCGAAAGCGGUUCCAGGGUGGGCGACGGUUCCCUAGAGGAGAGUUUUUUAGUAACCUGUAUAACAAUGCGGAAGGCAUUUUUCUCAACCUCCGGCGAAAAAAAAAUAUCGUGUCAUACAUAGUUACUAGUGGUUCAAACCUCUUUACAAGACCGAUAUAACCAAUUCACUACUACGCUCGUAAAGUUUUACGUCUUACAGCACUACAUAACCAGAUCUAACUUUUUGUUCUUAAAUGAAAAAAAUAUGUUGUUAGAAGAGCAACAUCUAUGAAACUUGACAGUUGAAUGUAUAAAAAGAGAUGUACACAUAGACAAUGAAUUUGUUAAAAAUUGCAGCCAUUGAAUCUGCCAUUUAAAGAAAAAUUUGAAGAGCGUCCGGAAAGAAUCAACCGAAGACCAUUGUGAUAGAACAUAAAUGAUAAUAAUUUUACAAAGAGUUUAUAUGUACAUACAUAUAUGAAAAGUUUAUGGUGAAAAACCAAUUUGGAUAAUAUAUUAUAUACUAAAACAAUAUGAAUCUCUUUGGGUUUAUUGAUUGCGAGUUGAUUGGAUUGCAGUUGCAUUCAACUAAUACUAAAAUGCCGGCAAAACAGG